UACGAAGGGGGCUAGCGUUGCUCGGAAUUACUGGGCGUAAAGCGCACGUAGGCGGCUCUUUAAGUCGGAGGUGAAAUCCUGGAGCUCAACUCCAGAACUGCCUUCGAUACUGUAGAGCUUGAGUUCGGGAGGGGUGAGUGGAACUGCGAGUGUAGAGGUGAAAUUCGUAGAUAUCUGGAGGAACACCGGUGGCGAAGGCGGCAUCCUGGACCGGUAUUGACACUGAGGCGCGAAAGCCAGGGGAGCAAACGGG
rnacentral:rRNA from 1 species